CGUUCCCGCCCAUGUUGACCGGGUGCACUCACAACAGCCCAGAGUGAGGAGGAAGGAUGAGAAUGAGCUCCAAAAACAAACACUGAAGGAGACCUAAAGUGGGACACACUUACGCCAGAUCAAACAGCAGAGGCAGACUGCCAUCUGGAGUGCCAGAGUGUUCUGGGCCACACUGUGCUGGCAGGGGCAGAAGAGAACCAGAAGAGCCAGCUCGGAGCAGAUGAGGCAUUCGCUGGGCCCAGGCGGCAUUGGCAGAACCAGGUUGGUCAUGGUGUUGGGCGUCGUGUGGACCCGCCGCAGGCUGGCGCUGCUCAGGCCCUGUCCGCAUGUGAUGGCCUGCAGGCGUUGCAACCUGACACACAACACACAGCUAUAACGCCACACUAAACCAACUUUAACCUCAAGUGACUCCCACACACCAGCACACAUCCCAGCAACUGUUUUCUGUUUGUCUUUAACGUUCAAAAACACUUCAAAGCUUUAAAGGUUCAUUUUCAUGCAAAA